rnacentral:rRNA from 1 species
UACAGAGGGGGCAAGCGUUGUUCGGAAUUACUGGGCGUAAAGCGUGCGCAGGCGGCUGUGCAAGACAGAUGUGAAAUCCCCGGGCUCAACCUGGGAACUGCAUUUGUGACUGCACAGCUAGAGUACGGCAGAGGGGGAUGGAAUUCCGCGUGUAGCAGUGAAAUGCGUAGAUAUGCGGAGGAACACCGAUAGCGAAGGCAAUCCCCUGGGCCUGUACUGACGCUCAUGCACGAAAGCGUGGGGAGCAAACAGG